GUUGAGUUUUAAUUUGAGAGUCCUCAUUUUUAGCUUUAAUUUUUAGUUUAUGUAUGAUUAUUUAUUUAAAUUUUAAAAAUUUAAAAUUAAAAUUAAUUAUUAUUAUUUUUUUUUAUUUUUAAAAAUAAAUAAAUACUUAAUUUAUGUUAAAGUAUCAUUUGACCUACAAUUUUUUUUAAAUAGUUAUAAUUUAAUAAAUUUAAAUAUAUAAAUUGGAAAAAAAAGUAAAAUAAUUUUAAUAUUUAUUUGAAUUUUUUUUAGUUUCGGUACAAA
rnacentral:rRNA from 1 species